ensembl:lncRNA
ACACUGACAUUGACAACAUAGGAAGAGGCAGAAAUAUCCAACAUAUUGAAUCAAAGACACUACAAGUCAGGUGACCACAGCAGGUAAUUACAGCUGAUUGUAAAUUGGCAACCUGUCUUGUACCAGAUAGACAAGCAAUAAAGAGCCUGCAAGAAAUCAGUGCUGCAUGUCUGAAGGUACAGCAAAUGCAAUGGCCAUGGGCAGGGGCAGGUUUUGUGUAGGAGCUGCUUUCGUCAUAGCAAUUUGGAUGACCGAAGUCUCUUGCGCCCCAUUUGGAGGGACCAACGGGAGAUCCAAAGAUGAGAACGACCUGGGAAAUGUUCCACAAAAUGACCUAGCUGACGUCAUUAAAAUGCAACAACUAAUUGAGGCCCUGUAUCAAGACCACUAUAUUAUAGAAGAAUACCUCAAGUCUGCCGCAAAAGCUAGGGCCUACCACGAC